rnacentral:rRNA from 1 species
UACGUAGGCAGCGAGCGUUGUUCGGAAUUACUGGGCGUAAAGAGUGUGUAGGCGGUGCUAUAAGUUCGGUGUGAAAUCUCCCGGCUCAACUGGGAGGGUGCGCCGAAAAACUGUAGUGCUCGAACUGGGAGAGGAAAGCGGAAUUCCUGGUGUAGCGGUGAAAUGCGUAGAUAUCUGGAGGAACACCGGUGGCGAAGGCGGCAUCCUGGACCGGUAUUGACGCUGAGGCGCGAAAAGCUAGGGGGAGCAAACGGG